rnacentral:rRNA from 1 species
UACGUAGGCAGCAAGCGUUGUUCGGAGUUACUGGGCGUAAAGGGUGCGUAGGCGGCUUCUUAAGUCUGGUGUGAAAUCUCCCGGCUCAACUGGGAGGGUGCGCCGGAUACUGAGGGGCUAGAGUGUGGGAGAGGAAAGUGGAAUUCCUGGUGUAGCGGUGAAAUGCGUAGAUAUCAGGAGGAACACCGGUGGUGUAAACGGCUUUCUGGACCAUAACUGACGCUGAUGCACGAAAGCUAGGGGAGCAAACAGG